rnacentral:lncRNA from 1 species
UCAGCCCCUGUGCACCUGUGGACAUCAGCCCCUGUGCACCUGUGGACAUCAGCCCCUGUGCACCUGUGCACAUCAGCCCCUGUGCACCUGUGGACAUCAGCCCUGUGCACCUGUGGAUAUCAGCCCCUGUGCACCUGUGGACAUCAGCCCCUAUGCACCUGUGGACAUCAGCCCCUGUGCACCUGUGGAUAUCAGCUCCUGUGCACCUGUGGAUAUCAGCUCCUGUGCACCUGUGGACAUCAGCCCUGUGCAUCUGUGGACAUCAGCCCUGUGCACCUGUGCACAUCAGCCCCUGUGUACCUGUGGACAUCAGCCCCUGUGCACCUGUGGACAUCAGCCCCUGUGUACCUGUGGACAUCAGCCCCUGUGCACCUGUGGACAUCAGCCCCUGUGCACCUGUGCACAUCAGCCCCUGUGCACCUGUGGAUAUCAGCCCCUGUGCACCUGUGGACAUCAGCCCCUAUGCACCUGUGCACAUCAGCCCCUGUGCACCUGUGGAUAUCAGCCCCUGUGCACCUGUAGACAUCAGCCCUGUGCACCUGUGGAUAUCAGCCCCUGUGCACUUGUGGACAUCAGCCCUGUGCACCUAUGGACAUCAGCCUCUGUGUACCUUAGACAUCAUCAGCCCCAGUGAACUUGUGGACAUCAGCCCCUGUGCACCUGUGGACAUCAGCCCCUGUGCACCUGUGGACAUCAGCCCCUGUGCACCUGUGCACAUCAGCCCCUGUGCACCUGUGGACAUCAGCCCUGUGCACCUGUGGAUAUCAGCCCCUGUGCACCUGUGGACAUCAGCCCCUAUGCACCUGUGCACAUCAGCCCCUGUGCACCUGUGGAUAUCAGCCCCUGUGCACCUGUAGACAUCAGCCCUGUGCACCUGUGGAUAUCAGGCCCUGUGCACUUGUGGAUAUCAGCCCUGUGCACCUAUGGACAUCAGCCCCUGUGUAGCUGUGGACAUCAGCCCCUGUGUACCUUAGACAUCAUCAGCCCCUGUGUACCUUAGACAUCAUCAGCCCCAGUGGACCUGUGGACAUCAGCCCCUGUGUACCUGUGGACAUCAGAUAACCACUGGCAGCAGCCAGUUCUCCCCUUCUGCUAUGUGGUUCCCAAGGACAGAACUCAAGUCAUCAAGCUUGGUGGGAAAAUGCCUUUACCAGUGAGCCAUCUACCAACCCAUAAAUGUUGGUUUUGGCGGAUUUUUUUCCUAGAUAAGUUUCCUCACAGCUUUUGCCUGGUUAGAGGGCUAUAAAUAGAAGCAGGAGUGGAUUCUAGGUAAGGAUAUAUUUUCCCAACUCCGAGCUGAGAUUCUUAUUUUAUUAUUUAUUGAUUGAUUGAUUGAUUUUGUUUUUUGAGACAGGGUAUCUCUGUGCAGCCCUGGAUGUCCUGGAACUCACUUUGUAGACCAGUUCAUUUCGAACUCAGAAAUCCGCCUGCCUCUGCCUC